rnacentral:rRNA from 1 species
AGCUCCAAUAGCGUAUAUUAAAGUUGUUGCAGUUAAAAAGCUCGUAGUUGGAUCUCGGGUCCGGGCUGGCGGUCCCGUUCGCGCGGGUACUGCCUGUUCCCGACCUACCGGCCGGCACGUCCCUUGGUGCUCUUCACUGAGUGCCUCGGGUGGCCGGCGCGUUUACUUUGAAAAAAUUAGAGUGUUCAAAGCAGGCCGUCGUGCCUGAAUACUGAUGCAUGGAAUAAUGGAAUAGGACCUCGGACUUCUAUUUUGCUGGUUUCUGGAUCUCGAGGUAAUGAUUAAGAGGGACGGCCGGGGGCGUUAGUAUUACGGUGUUAGAGGUGAAAUUCUUGGAUCGCCGUAAGACUCACGGUUGCGAAAGCGUUCGCCAAGAACGUUUUCA